rnacentral:sRNA from 2 species
ACCGGCCGAACGCCUAAUUCCAAGACGUCCGACGUCUGGAAGCCGGGGACCCACCGUCUUUGGGGUGAAUCCGCGAUUCCCGUCGCGGUAGGGCCUGCUCCUGGUCCGAAUCCGUCAGCUAACCCGGUAGGCAGUCAAGGAGAGGAGAA